rnacentral:rRNA from 1 species
UACGGAAGGCAGCAGUGGGGAAUAUUGCACAAUGGGCGCAAGCCUGAUGCAGCCAUGCCGCGUGUAUGAAGAAGGCCUUCGGGUUGUAAAGUACUUUCAGUCGUGAGGAAGGUGUUAAGGUUAAUAACCUUAGCAAUUGACGUUAGCGACAGAAGAAGCACCGGCUAACUCCGUGCCAGCAGCCGCGGUAAUACGGAGGGUGCGAGCGUUAAUCGGAAUUACUGGGCGUAAAGGGCACGCAGGCGGUUAAUAAGUUGGAUGUGAAUCCCCGGGCUUAACCUGGGAAUGGCAUUCAAGACUGGUUAGCUAGAGUCUUGUAGAGGGGGUAGAAUUCCAUGUGUAGCGGUGAAAUGCGUAGAGAUGUGGAGGAAUACCGGUGGCGAAGGCGGCCCCUGGACAAAGGCUGACGCUCAUGUGCGAAAGCGUGGGGAGCAAACAGGGAUUAGAUACC